UGUUUCUGAUGCAUUGAAGUUUCUUUUUGUUAUCAGAGAACUAGUUUUGCUCUUGCAUCCGAACUUCCUAGUGGCUGGCUUAAGGAGAAAGAAGCCACGACGUUGACAGUUCUUCAGAAGACAAGCAGCCAUCAUGGUGAUGUGCAAGUGUGGUAGAGCAGCAUUGAUGAAGACAUUGAAGACCUCCAAAAACCCUGAACGGAGAUUUUAUACAUGUCCACAAAUGAGUUAGGGUUUCAUAAACCCCCAAAUCACAGUUCAGUCAUUGAAGUCAGAUUUGAAGAAUUGAAGCAUGAAAUUAGAAGAAAGGAUGCUGCAUUAGUGAUGAGUUGGUGUAUACUUGUUGGCCUUUUAGUGUUAAUCCUUGUAGUUGUUUUGAUCAGUCUUCUUUUGAAGCCUUCAUAAUGUUAAUCUAUUAAUGAAAUGUGAGGGCUGUGUUUUGUUUGUAAUGAGGUGUGUUUUG